AAAUGAAUAGACGGGGACCCGCACAAGCGGUGGAGCAUGUGGUUUAAUUCGAAGCAACGCGAAGAACCUUACCAGGGUUUGACAUACUCAAGCAAGACUAAGAGAUUAGUUGUUCCUUCGGGACUUGAGAUACAGGUGGUGCAUGGUUGUCGUCAGCUCGUGUCGUGAGAUGUUGGGUUAAGUCCCGCAACGAGCGCAACCCUUAUCGCUAGUUGCCAGCAUUAAGUUGGGUACUUUAGCGAGACUGCCAGUGAUAAACUGGAGGAAGGCGGGGAUGAGGUCAAAUCAUCAUGCCCCUUAUACCCUGGGCUACACACGUGCUACAAUGGACGAUACAAAGAGAAGCGAAACGGUGACGUGAAGCAAACCUCAUAAAGUCGUUCUCAGUUCGGAUUGUAGUCUGCAACUCGACUACAUGAAGAUGGAAUCGCUAGUAAUCGCGGAUCAGAAUGCCGCGGUGAAUACGUUCCCGGGUCUUGUACACACCGCCCGU
rnacentral:rRNA from 1 species